UACAGAGACUGCAAGCGUUAUUCGGAUUCACUGGGCGUAAAGGGUGCGUAGGCGGGUCUUUAAGUCAGGGGUGAAAGUCCAUGGAGCUCAACUCCAGAACUGCCUUCGAUACUGAGGGGCUAGAGUGUGGGAGAGGAAAGUGGAAUUCCAGGUGUAGCGGUGAAAUGCGUAGAUAUCUGGAGGAACACCGGUGGUGUAAACGGCUUUCUGGACCAUUACUGACGCUGAUGCACGAAAGCGUGGGUAGCAAACAGG
rnacentral:rRNA from 1 species